UUUUACUGUCUUCUGCUCCUUCUAAUCCUCCUCUCUUGUUGCUGGUCCUCCACUGAAUAGGGAAUGCACCUUCUGCUGGGCUGGGGCAUUACAAGAUGGCUAAAAGAGCUGAAACUAAAAAAUACCUUAAAAACAGGAAACACUGCCUGAUCCCCUGCAGCCAGAAAACUGCCUUUUCUGUGCUCAAGACUCCAGAGCUGGAGAUAGUAUCUUGCUUAGAGAGAAGCAAAGAGUACGUAAGUCCCGCUACCUGCACAAACCAGACCAAGUUACUGAGUGGGCCAGAGAGACAUCAGCGUUGCCCCAGACUCAGACUGCUAUUCACCCUUGUAGAAAUGAACAAUCUCACUGGCUUUUUGCUUCUGUUCAUUAGGAGCUAGUGAGGUGAGAGGCAAAGGAGAAGUGUAGCAGAGGGUGCAUGCAGUAUUGAACUACCCCAUUUUGGCUCCGUGUUCUCAGAAGGAUCAGUCUCACUGAAGGCUCCAAUGUUAACCAGAAACUAACAACUUAUUAGUAUCCUGUUGGUGCAAGCUGUUCUUCAGAUCAAUGAUAGCAAUGGAAAAAAAGCAUCAUGAAGCUUGCUGGAAAGAUCUUUGCUGUGACGUGGGUUAGUCUGCCCUCGGGUGUACAUGCCUCCUCCAAGGGCAUGGUUACACUUGCAGAUGUAGAGCAUUGUGAGUUAAACCAGCCCUUGGAGACCACAAUGUAUUCACACAGUCAGCUGCAAGCACACUAGCAUGGCCACAUUUGGGCUUGGGAAACAAGCACUGAGUGGUGGAAUCACGUCAUGCAAGUCUGGGAUGACGAGAAGUGGCUGCAGAACUUUCGGAUGAGAAAAGCCAUUUUCAUGGGAUUGUGUGCUGAGCUCGCCCCCAUUCUGCGGCACAAGGACACGAGAUUGAGAGCAGCCCUGCCGGUGGAGAAGUGGGUGGCUUUUGCAGUCUGGAAGCUUGCAACUCCAGACAGCUACUGAUCCGUCGCUAACCAGUUUGGAGUGGGAAAGUCAACGGCUGGAAUUGUGUUGAUGCAAGUUUGCAGGGCCAUUAAUCGCAUCCUGCUUAGAAGAACUGUGACUCUGGGUGACGUGCAUGACAUUGUGACUGGCUUUGAACAAAUGGGUUUCCCUAACUGCGGGGGGCGAUAGCUGGGACGCAUAUUCCAAUUCUGGCACCAGCCCACCUAGCCUCCGAGUAUGUAAAUUGGAAGGGGUAUUUCUCGAUGGUUCUCCAGGCGCUUGUGGGUCAUCGUGGGCGUUUCAUUGACAUUAACUCAGUCUGGUCCAGAAAAGUAUAUGAUGCACACAUCUUUCGGAACACAGGCCUAUUCAGGAAGCUGCAGGCCGUGACUUUCUUCCAAGACCAGAAGAUCACCGUUAGGGAAGUCAAAAUGACCAUUGUGAUCCUUGGAGACCCUGCUUACCCUUUAGUGCCAUGGCACAUGAAACCCUACACAGGGAGCCAUGACAGCAGCAAGGAGUGGUUCAACAACAGGCCAAGUUGGUGCAGAAUGACUGUGGAAUGUGCUUUUGGCCAUUUAAAGGGCCACUGGUGCUAUCUGUAUGGGAAGCUGGACCUGGCCGAUGACAACAUCCCAAUGGUUAUAUCCGCAUGCUGUACCCUCCAUAACUUUUGUGAAGGGAGGGGUGAAAGAUUCACUCAGGCAUGGACCUCCAAGGUUCAACAUCUCGAGGCUGAAUUUGAACAGCCAGAGAGCAGGGCUAUUAGAGGGGCCUAGCAUGGGGCUACAAAGAUAGGGAUGCCUUGAGAGAGCAAUUUGAGGCUGAAAGCCACCAGUAAUGUUUGGUGCCUUGCAUGAGGAGUGAAGUGCCAUGGUUCCAAUGUUAGUAGGAAUCUGUGUUUGCUACACUGACUUGCAGUGCCUGUUACUUUCCUGGGCUACGGUGUCUUUUACUUAAUGCAAUAAUAAAGAAUGUUUUCAUAGCCAAAAAAUUCAUUUAUUGACAAGAAAAUUCAUUUAUUGAAAAGAAACACAACUGCUUAGGAAACAGAAAGGGCAAGGGGAUGGGGUGGGGAACGGUACACUCGCAGAUUUGUGUAUGUCCUGUUAUCAUAUUCAGCCUUCCUGUCUGGAGUGCAGUGCAAUGAGUGCUGCACUUCAGGCUGGCUAAAAUGCAUGGUGAUGGGGGUUGAGUGCAGUGAGUGAGGGUUGUAAUUUGCAGGGCUGGGUGGUGAAGCUACAGGUGUUGGAGGCAGCUGGUGGCGAUAAGAACCUGGAUGUUGGGGAAAGUGGGUUGGCGGUGACAUGAGGGCACAAGGGAAAGAGUUUUGGGACAAAGGCUGGGGGUCCUUAUGCCCUGGUCCAUAUACAACUUGCCUGUGUGCAGCAAUGGUCCCCCUUCCUGUCAUGGCACAGUGGCAUAGACAUGUUAGCCUUACUGGAACAAGGAGCACAGUAGCUCUGCCAAGGAACCUGCGCAAGUGGAUUGCCCAGCUUCUGCAUGAGACCUUGGAAGAGAUCACUGAGGCCGAUUACCACAAUGUGAGAGAGCACAGCAACGUCCUAUUCCUCAUCUAGGCAGGCAUGCAGCCCUAACCCUCCUCACCCCAAGAGCCCACACCGAAUAACUUCUUUCCCAAAACAAAAGCUGC